UCCGUAGGGUGCGAGCGUUAAUCGGAAUUACUGGGCGUAAAGUGUGCGCAGGCGGCCGCGCAAGUCGAGUGUGAAAUCCCCGAGCUUAACUUGGGAAUUGCGCUCGAAACUACGUGGCUGGAGUGUGGCAGAGGAAGGUGGAAUUCCACGUGUAGCGGUGAAAUGCGUAGAUAUGUGGAGGAACACCGAUGGCGAAGGCAGCCUUCUGGGCCAACACUGACGCUCAUGCACGAAAGCGUGGGGAGCAAACAGG
rnacentral:rRNA from 1 species